AUCAAGCUGACAAGUCCUAAAUAGAACGAAAUGCGCGCAUCCUGGAU
rnacentral:hammerhead_ribozyme from 1 species